rnacentral:pre_miRNA from 1 species
UCUUCAUUUCACGUGCUCUCUCACCGGUCAGAUUGACGAGGGAGUGAGGGAUAUGAAGAGA